ACUGGUUGGUGGUGGGGGUUGGGUUGGGUAGUCUAUCCACACUACUGGUGUGGUGUGGUGUGGCUUCCGCUCACUCUUGCAACAAACGCAAGGCAGCUAUGGCUGUCUUGAUGUUCACGCUUGGAUUUGUUUGACAGAUAUUGGAUGGAUUGGAUUGGAUGUAUGA
rnacentral:misc_RNA from 1 species